GAUGAACGCUGGCGGCGUGCCUAACACAUGCAAGUCGAGCGAGGGUUUGCUCAGUAUUGAGUAUUCUAAGACUAGAAUGUUCAAUUCUGAGCAAAACCAAGCGGCGGACGAGUGAGUAACGCGUGGGUAACCUGCCCUAUACACAUGGAUAACAUACUGAAAAGUUUACUAAUACAUGAUAAUAUAUAUUUGCGGCAUCGCAGAUAUAUCAAAGUGUUAGCGGUAUAGGAUGGACCCGCGUCUGAUUAGCUAGUUGGUGAGAUAACUGCCCACCAAGGCGACGAUCAGUAGCCGACCUGAGAGGGUGAUCGGCCACAUUGGAACUGAGACACGGUCCAAACUCCUACGGGAGGCAGCAGUGGGGAAUAUUGCACAAUGGGCGAAAGCCUGAUGCAGCAACGCCGCGUGAACGAUGAAGGUCUUCGGAUCGUAAAGUUCUGUUGCAGGGGAAGAUAAUGACGGUACCCUGUGAGGAAGCCCCGGCUAACUACGUGCCAGCAGCCGCGGUAAUACGUAGGGGGCUAGCGUUAUCCGGAUUUACUGGGCGUAAAGGGUGCGUAGGUGGUCCUUCAAGUCGGUGGUUAAAGGCUACGGCUCAACCGUAGUAAGCCGCCGAAACUGGAGAACUUGAGUGCAGGAGAGGAAAGUGGAAUUCCCAGUGUAGCGGUGAAAUGCGUAGAUAUUGGGAGGAACACCAGUAGCGAAGGCGGCUUUCUGGACUGCAACUGACACUGAGGCACGAAAGCGUGGGUAGCAAACAGG
rnacentral:rRNA from 1 species